rnacentral:rRNA from 1 species
GACGAACGCUGGCGGCGUGCUUAACACAUGCAAGUCGAACGAAGUGGCGAACGGGUGAGUAAUACGUGAGUAACCUGCCCUCCUUUUUGGGAUAAGCCUUGGAAACGGGGUCUAAUACCGAAUAAAGGGGGAUGGGCUCGCGGCCUAUCAGCUUGUUGGUGGGGUGAUGGCCUACCAAGGCGGUGACGGGUAGCCGGCCCGAGCGGGUGCCCGGCCACAUUGGAACUGAGAAACGGCCCAGACUGCUACGGGAGGCAGCAGUGGGGGUUAUUGAACAAUGCGCGAAAGCCUGAUGCAGGGACGCCGAGUGAGGGAUGAAGGCUUUCGGGUUGUAAACAUCUUUCGCUAUCGAAGGGGGAGGUGGAGAAGAAGCGCCGGCUAACUACGUGCCAGCAGCCGCGGUAAUUC